UUCGUUGUUUUGCUCUUUGUAGUAAAUCUUGCUGCUGCUCACUCUUUGGGUCCACACUGCCUUUAUGAGCUGUAACAGUCACCACGAAGGUCUGCGGCUUCACUCCUGAAGCCAGCGAGACCACGAACCCACACUGAAGGAAGGAAACUCAACACUUCCGAACAUCAGAAGGAACAAACUCCAGACACGUCCGCCUUUAAGAACUGUAACACUCACUGCGAGGGUCGGCAGCUCCAUUCUUGAAGUCAGUGAGACCAAGAACCCACCAAUUCCGGACACAAUCUCAGCACUGUCAGAGACUGAGGCACCUGCCAAACCUGCACAGAUUGCUACAGCAGCCAGUUCGCUCUGUCUGGAGGCUUCAGAGGAACACGAGCUUCUCUGAUGGAAGAGCCUUGUUCUCGAAGGGAGUGAAGCCUAGAUCCACUUCUUUAUUACCUUUUUGAAGAACAGGAACCUUUGUCUGGAAAUUCCACAAUAUGCCUUCUGCAAGAUUAAAAGUGCCACAAAGAACAAAAAUGAGCCCAGGACCAGAUGCAUGUUAGAAGCCAUCAGACACGUUAAGUUUCAUUUCCAUUGACCUGGUGAUAAUGAAGUGGCAGCAGGCAUUUUGGGUAUCUGGCUAAGAGAAGAUGAGUUGUGGAUGCAUUUCGGGCCAGAAGUUGUAUUGCAGUAUGCACAUGUCCUUUGAUGCCUGGCACAGAAAAUUGUGAGUAGCAAACAAGAUCUGAUGUUUUUGGAACCAAAAGUUAACAUGGGGAAAAGUCUUUCGGUCAGCCAACAUGAACAAUUGUAAGUGCAUGAUUCAAUUCUUAUUUAUGCCUAGUCAAAUCGUCAGAGAACUGCAGAGAAUUGCAAUUCACCAGAAUUAUAAUGACACUGAAUAUGUAAUUCAAAAUUCUGUCAUUUUCACUUAAAAAUUAUAUCACUAGAAUUUUCCAUGUUAAAGUGGCCUUUAUAAAUCUUUUAUAUGCUGCCAUAAUAUUGAAUUUGGCUUAAGUCAGCUCAGAGUUUUUUGUUGAUAUCCUAUCUGUGUGAUGAACUGUACUCCACAACAUAAUUCUAUUCUGGACCAACUCUAACACAACUUUUCCUCUCUUGGUGCACUUUCUCUGGCUUUGCUUUUAUCUCUCAAGUUCAAUGAUUCCCUUUUCCUAGAAUACCUUUCCUUUCUGUUUCUGCCUGGUAAAUUACUCUCUGUCUUUUAAGAUCUAGCUCAUCUCUCAUCCUUUUGAUCCACAAGGCUUCCUUGACUCCAUGAAUAUUAGUGUUCCCAUAACACGCAUCUGUGAUUGCCCUCGUAGUGCAUGAUGAUUUUAAUUUAUCCAUGAGUCUGACUCUCCAGUUUGUGAGUACAUAAGUGAAAAAAAAAAUCUUCUCUUAUGCUUCACUCCACUGAAAAUGUUGCCUUCCACACUGCCUGAAAUA